ensembl:misc_RNA Y_RNA Y RNA
GGCAGGUCCGAAUGCAGCAGUGUUUACAACUAAUUGAUUACAACCAGUUACAGAUUUUUUUUUCUUCUCUCCUCCCACUGUUUCAUUUGACUAGCUUUAA